UGGCAGUGCUGAGACCCGGAAGUGAGUACGUUUAACAUGGUUUUAAAGUUAGGCCGACCAGAAAUGGUGUGCAUUAACAAGAGUCCAGAAUGCAUGUUGGACUUCAGGAUCAGAGUCAGGAAAGAAACUUUUAAGACAACAUCAAUGAGCCACGUGGAGGCUGGCCUUAUUAAGGGAUAGAAAUUGCAUCUCCAUCAGUGGACAGAGCAGAAAACGGAUGACGGAAAGGGAAUGUUAUGCAGCGCUCCAAUUAACGGUGCUGGGAUACAACCAAACUGUCAUGUGCCGCUGCAUGUGUAAUUCAAACACCUAAUUAAGGGAAUGGAUUUUUGCACUUGUCCUGUUCUGUGACUCUAGUAUAUACAGAUUAGCAGUUGCAUUGGAUACUAACCAUAACACCAAGGUGUGAAUUCACACCUCAUUCUGUUUGAGAUCUCCUUGACGAAUGUGGUCUGUGUGAAGACUUGACACCUGGGGGGAACACAAAGAACUGCUGAGAAGAUCUACUCCAGUCCUAAGGAAUAUAUGGAUAUACUGUACAAUGUUUUUUUCCUCACUGCAAUUUAUUGUUCAGUGUAUAUUUUCUGGCUGAUACAGUAUGUGGACUUGCUUGGCAUCCUCCCUAAAUUAGGGGUGUGUAGCAAGAGCAGUGCUUAUACUCAUGAUUGUAUCUUAUUUUGUUAGGUAAGUGGUCAAGUGCUUGCAUUUAAACUUUAAACCCAUGCAGAUGUAUCAAACCCAAACUGAAUUUAAAAUGCUGAUGAAAAAUGAUGAUUCUUAUAUAAAAACAUAAUAGACUAAAACUUUUUUUUGUAUAUUGGAUCAUUAACAAGAUUAUAUUGCUUGAAUUAGGCUAUAUUUCAAACUACCUUUCUGUAUGUUUCAGGUACAAUAAAAUAGUACCAGGGUUCAUAAUAUACCAUAGCAGACCGGGUGGUCAUAGGCAUAGGCAGUAAUUGGGAUGACUGUUUUCAUAACUUUUAAAAUGGUUCUAGCAUCUAUUUCAUACAUUGAUUUGGUACUGACAAUAAUUCCACCCAGGGUUGUGGUUCUUUACCAUUGUCACCAUAGGCUUGAUCUUGUACAGUAGGUGUUCAAGCCAAGGUUUACUGUGAAGCAUAUGGUGACAGUUGUAUUUAAAAUGUGCUAUACAAAUACAUUUGAUUUGAUUUGAAUUCAGCCAGUGGCUGCAGUUCAAUUUAAAGUUCACUUUCAGUAGCCCAACUUUGUUUCAGCACUGAGAUUUAGGCAGUAUCACAUUUAAACCAACAAGCAAAAUAAGUAAAUUAAGUGGAAACAGCAGUGAGUAUGCAGCAGUUUCACAACACCAUUGGUUGUACUGAAUGAAAAACCAAUCAUAGUACUUAAUGGGCUGUGACCAAAGCAAUGUCAGAUGAACAUUUUGAGCUAGGUACAUACCAGGUCAGGGAUACUUCAAAAAGUAGCACUGGUGUUAGCUAGUUAUUUUUGUUUAUUUACAGAAACAGAACUGUUGUAAUGACAAAUGAAAGUUAAAUUUAGUGGAUGUGAGAAAAAUCAUCCUUUAAGGAAACCCCCAAAACAAUUUGUAACACAAUUAAAUAAAAAUCAUAAUGCGGCAAUCUGUCUUAUUUGCGCAUUAAGAUGUAUUAUGAUGGCAAGGAACAAAAUUUUCUAAACAACCCUACUUUUAGUUUCUUGGUAAUAUUAUGAAAUGUCUUCCGUUCCCACUGAAUAUGCAUGUGUGAUGUGUGGCCAAGUGGGUGAGCAGGUUAACAAAUCUGUUAUUAUUGAAUGUAAGUGUAGUGUCACCAUGGCUACUGACAGGGAUCAGGGCCUAAGGCGUGAUUGAGAGUCCUUGCAAUGCAGGCUAUUUUUUAUUAAAGCAAUUUUGCGAUAUAACAGUGACCAUGCCCGAGGCACGAGAAAAAAGUAAACAAGACUAUUCAUUUUAGCUGAACUUGACCUUCAACUUUCAGUCACUAAUCCAAUUAAUCAAAAAUCUUUUACUUAUUAUCUUUAACCUUCUGCUGACCUUAACUUAUUUUUUCAAUUUAAGUGUAUAAUUUCCUUUUUUUUCAUGUGUAGACAUUCUUUAAUGGUUUUGGAACUGUUUUUUUUUUGCCAUUUCUGCAUACCCUGGCUUCAGGAAAAACUGACUUAUUUAGUUCCAUCCUCUGAAAUCUGCCUGAACUCCAGCAAGGUAAUUCAUGCCUUGAAACAUUGCAGGACUAAUCAAUUCACAGUACUGUUAUUAUUUUAAUAUUUUUUCUAUUCUUGGAUAUAUAUAAGUAUAUUUGUAUAUAAAUAUAUCAGUAUAUUUUUCACUUAAUAGAUAUCAUUUGAUAACUGCUGUUGCUAUGGUGAGCAGUUAUGGUAUCAACUAGAAUGGAGAAUGAAAAGUUUCUGAUUUCUGGCUCAACAAUGCUUUCUUUGUCAGUGCCAAUAUUUUAUCGGCAUCUGUUGUUCCAGGUGUCAAUUGGCUAAUUGAGACACAUUUAUGAAACCCCAGGGCCUGUAAAUCUGGAUCUUUUCCAGUUGUAUAGUCCCUUUGGGAAACAUUUAUAUUUCAAAAAGAAAUGCUCUUUCAUUUUGCAUUUAAACCCUCAACACAAUGCUUCACAAUUAAACUGGUAGAAUACAAACUCCAGACUACAUAUAGACUCUUCAGCCAAAUAAACGUGAUGUAGUCAGCCAGAAGGCUAUGUACCUAGUUAGUGAUGUAUGCCAUCAUUUCCCACCCCUACACAUGGAGAUGGAGCUUAGCUUGCUAGAAACCUAUCAUGUGAACUCUGGGUCAACAUCAUGAUAUCUAUUGAACAUUUGCCAGCAAAGUCACCCUAACCUGCUGUUAAAUCUGUCUUCCCAUUUAGGUUACAGUUCUCAAAUGGCACUGUAUCCCUGUUGACAAAGCCAUCAUUGCUGACAGGCUAUUUUUAAAUAAACCAGUGGAAUCAGAGCAUGCUCCCCUAAUACCAAAUGUGCAUAAUUCCCAGAAUAGAUAUUUUAAAAAUGCAAUGUCUCAAUCUUAUACAUAUGAAAUUCAUAAGCAUAUCAGUAUCCUCUCUGAUUAUGGGAACUUCUAUGCUUAAGAACAGCCUGCCUCUUCUGUUAUGUAGCAAACAACCAAGUCAUAAACUUGAAAGGCAACAGGCAAGUGAUUAAAUUGGGAGCUUCUUCGGAAACUCAGAAUGCGAUUAGGAUGUUUUGGUAUGAGUAAAAUUUGAGCCUGAGCUGCAAUGUGAAGUACAAAGUCAUUAUCUAACAUUCAGGGUUGAGCACUCAACACAGUUGCAGGUAAAAUGCAGUCCUGCUGUAUGAGGAGAUUACACAAGUUAAUAGUGAAGUGCGGUGCCUCGCUGACAUUUUCUCAUUCACAUUUUCCUUUCUAUUCAUGUGAGAAGCAACGAUAGUGAACUCGAGUUUGAUAGCUGUUGAGCGAACAUGUCACAAUUUCCAUUCCCCUAUUUAGAUUGCGGCAAAUCGCUGUUCCUUGGUCAAAUCUGAUGACAUUAUGAUUCCCGGUUCUCCAGGUGGCGGAUUAAAGAAGGGGGUGAAUCUUUGGGUGGCAGUGGAGAUAGCAGCUUGACAUUCAUAUGUCAUCCUCUUUCAUGCACACUCGUUUUUCCGUUUUGAAGGGAGACCAAAGAGUUUGGGUUUCACAAUGAGUCAAAACAAAGUUGGUGCUACCAAAGUGCACGCUGCCCUUCUAUGCACCCAGCUAUGAUGCUGAUCUGUGAGAAUGCUUAAGUCAGGGGCAUACUGCAAAGUAUAUAUGGACUUUAUCACUUAGAACUCCUAGUGCUUUCUAUAUAACUGAAGCUCUAAACUGUUACAAGGUGCGGCUGAGCAAGCCAGGUACUGCCUUUGAUGCCUUCUCAUCCUCUCAGCCACAUAUCCACCAUUUGUUGAGGCCACUGUCCACUUGGCAUGACAAAAUUGCAUAUGAGUUCUAUUUUUUAUUUUGAGAGGAAAUGGCAUGGGUAACAGUGAGGUUAGAUAAGGCUCUCUGCAGGCCCACUGUUUACUACUGUUGUUUACUGAAUUUUAUUAUCAGUUUCAUAUUUUGUUCAAUCAGGGGCACAGUGCAAAACACGCAUGAAUUUUAUCAGUUAAUUCUAUUGGUUUUGCUAUGCUCCAGAAUCUGACUCAAGCUUCAAACUUCAAAAUAUCAGAUAUUAUAUCAUAAAAGCAGUUAGAUAGGAAAGCUGCAGCAUUAGAGCUGUUACAAGGAGCAUCUAAAUUUCAAUUAAAUAAAUGGGAAAGGGAACCACAGAGGAAUCACUGGCUAUCCAUAUAAAAACUAUUUCAUUGCUAACCUUACAAAAUAAGAGUCCCUGAUUAGGAUUUGCAGGGUCUUUGUUGGCAGUUAGCGCUGAUGAGAACAUUUUUAGAUGCAAACCAUUACAAUCCAGGGAAUCAUGAUGCUUAGUCAUCAAAGCCACAUGGGCAGAUUGUGUUUUACCCAGUUGUUCCAUUUUUUACUAUCAAUAGGCUAUGAGUAACAAAAAUAAGA